rnacentral:lncRNA from 1 species
AUGCUUAUUAGAUCCGUCAACGGAUUGGUUUCAUAUCAGAAUAUGGAUAUCCAGACCUGAAGCCGAUCUGAAUUACUGGUAUCAGACCCAAAUCUGAAUACCCGACAGGUCUAGCCUUGAAGUAAUAGACUCAGACCCUAAUGGAUCCUGGGUAUCUAGACCCGAUUCCGAGAUCCGAAACUUCUCGUCACAGGUGGCCCGGAUAGCGGCUGAGACGAUGUGAGACAGAGAGAGGGGGCGUAAAGUGGCGGAGUCGCGAAAGGCAGCGGUGAAAGAGG